GUAUUUCAUUAUUAUAGGCACAUAGGCCCAUUGAUCACAUUCUACAACAUACUAUGUGGUAUAUGAAUACAUAGUACUCGAGGGAGAGGUUUUGCAAGUCAUUUGAGAAGAGCUGUAUGCUUUCGCACUCAGCAAUCCUCACGUCCGGAAAGGCCAUAGCCAUCCGAUAGUCGACCGCUCUCAACCCCCAAGACUACAAAAGGUGCACAGGUGGACGAAUAAAGUCAAGACAAGUGUGCACAUGCUCCUGAGAGCCAGCUACAACCCAUCAAGAAUAUUCAAUAAUGAUCCUUCCGCAGGUUCACCUACGGAAA
rnacentral:misc_RNA from 1 species